GGGCUCGUGGUGUAGUGGCCUAACAUGCCUCCCUGUCACGGAGGAGAUCGCCGGUUCAAAUCCGGUCGGGCCCGCCA
rnacentral:tRNA from 1 species